GCCGACUUAGCUCAGUGGUAGAGCAGCUGUUUUGUAAACAGCAGGUCGUCAGUCCGAAUCUGACAGUCGGCUCCA
rnacentral:tRNA from 2 species